rnacentral:rRNA from 1 species
CGCCUACGGGAGGCAGCAGUAGGGAAUCUUCCACAAUGGACGAAAGUCUGAUGGAGCAACGCCGCGUGAGUGAAGAAGGGUUUCGGCUCGUAAAGCUCUUUUGGUAGUGAAGAAAGAUAGAGGGAGUAACUGGCCUUUAUUUGACGGUAAUUACUUAGAAAGUCACGGCUAACUACGUUCCAGCCGCCGCGGUAAUACGUAGGUGGCCAGCGUUGUCCGGUUUUAUUGGGCGUAAAGCGAGUGCCGGCGGGU